UCAGGCCUAACACAUGCAAGUCGAGCGCGCCUUCGGGUGAGCGGCGGACGGGUUAGUAACGCGUGGGAACGUGCCCUUCUCUACGGAAUAGCCUCUGGAAACGGAGAGUAAUACCGUAUACGCCCUUUGGGGGAAAGAUUUAUCGGAGAAGGAUCGGCCCGCGUUAGAUUAGGUAGUUGGUGGGGUAACGGCCUACCAAGCCUACGAUCUAUAGCUGGUUUUAGAGGAUGAUCAGCAACACUGGGACUGAGACACGGCCCAGACUCCUACGGGAGGCAGCAGUGGGGAAUCUUAGACAAUGGGGGCAACCCUGAUCUAGCCAUGCCGCGUGAGUGAUGAAGGCCUUAGGGUCGUAAAGCUCUUUCGCCUGUGAUGAUAAUGACAGUAGCAGGUAGAGAAGCCCCGGCUAACUCCGUGCCAGCAGCCGCGGUAAUACGGAGGGGGUUAGCGUUGUUCGGAAUUACUGGGCGUAAAGCGCGCGUAGGCGGAUUAGAAAGUUGGGGGUGAAAUCCCGGGGCUCAACCUCGGAACUGCCUCCAAAACUGCUAGUCUAGAGUUCGAGAGAGGUGAGUGGGAUUCCGAGUGUAGAGGUGAAAUUCGUAGAUAUUCGGAGGAACACCAGUGGCGAAGGCGGCUCACUGGCUCGAUACUGACGCUGAGGUGCGAAAGUGUGGGGAGCAAACAGGAUUAGAUACCCUGG
rnacentral:rRNA from 1 species